UACGUAGGUGGCAAGCGUUGUCCGGAUUUAUUGGGUUUAAAGGGUGCGUAGGCGGCUUUUUAAGUCAGUGGUGAAAUACUCUAGCUCAACUAGAGGGGUGCCAUUGAUACUGAUGAGCUUGAGUACAGAUGAGGUAGGCGGAAUUGACGGUGUAGCGGUGAAAUGCUUAGAUAUCGUCAAGAACACCUAUAGCGAAGGCAGCUUACUAGGCGGUAACUGACGCUGAGGCACGAAAGUGCGGGGAUCAAACAGG
rnacentral:rRNA from 1 species